AUAUAUAAUUUAUUCGGAUUUGGAUUCGGAUAAUAUUUCGGAUAUCCAUAUCUAUUGACAUCACUACUUUCUAUAAAAAAAAUACGUACUAAACACGGUGAAUCAUUCGAGCACCGUGAAUGAUUCACCGUAUUCAACUUAACAUAUGAGUUUCGGCCCUGCCAUUUUUGCAAAUUAAAUUUUGACAGGAUAAAAUUUGCCAGGAGGCUAAAUGCAAAAUAAAACCCAUUGCUUCUUAUUACCUUAGAUAUA
rnacentral:lncRNA from 1 species